GGAAGCAUUGAGCCUUGCAGGGUAAGCUGUGUUUGUAAGCUACAUUCAGAGUAUGACAGUUCUACUGAUUUCAGAGGGAAAUAGAUAGGAGUGGAUUUGUGCUUUAGAAUGAUCACUCUACUCUAAGACUAGGAAAUGAGUUGUGAGUACCAGAAACAUGCUGAGAUGAGAAUGGAUAGAGUCUUCAACGGAAAUAUGGAAAAUACCAGACAGGGUGAUUAAUAGGUAGGAUAGGUGAGAGUAGUCCAGGAACAAUCUACAGGUUCCUUACUUGGGUAAUUGGACAGAAGAAGGUACCAUUCAUUGAAAUAUGGAACAUGGGAGUAAGAGCUGGUUGGCGGUGGGGGAAAGGAAAAUGAGUUUAGUUUUCUAUAAAAGUAGAUGUGUUAAUUAGGUGUGUGUGUGUGUGUGUGUGUGUGUGUGUCUGCGUGUUCUCAGGAAGAAGUGCAUAUCAGGAUUGUAGAAGAGAUUGAGGAAACAAAAAUAAAGAGAUCUUACUUGAAAUCAUGAGAGUGAAGAGAGAGCCUAGAAAAAAUUUAUUAAUAUAAUCUUAGGAGAAAGGAGAACUUAAAAUGGAACUAUAAGGAUAGUCAGCAUUUAAGGGACAAGCAAAGAAAAAGAGGUAGAU
rnacentral:lncRNA from 10 species